rnacentral:rRNA from 1 species
AGCAGUCGCCGCGGGAAAACGGAGGGUGCAAGCGCUAAUCGGAUUUACUGGGCGUAAAGGGCGCGUAGGUGGUUAUUUAAGUAAGAUGUGAAAGCCCCGGGCUUAACCUGGGAACUGCAUCUUAUACUGGGUAACUGGAGUGCAGUAGAGGGUAGUGGAAUUUCCGGUGUAGCGGUGAAAUGCGUAGAUAUCGGAAGGAACACCAGUGGCGAAGGCGGCUACCUGGACUGAGACUGACACUGAGGCGCGAGAGCGUGGGGAGCAAACAGGAUUAGAUACCCCCGUAGUCCCUGUCUCUUAUCC